rnacentral:rRNA from 1 species
GACGAACGCUGGCGGCGUGCUUAACACAUGCAAGUCGAACGGAGUGGCGAACGGGUGAGUAACACGUUGGUGACCUGCCCUGCACUUCGGGAUAAACCUGGGAAACUGGGUCUAAUACCGGAUAGUGUGGGAUGGGCCCGCGGCCAAUCAGCUUGUUGGUGGGGUAAUGGGCGACCAAGGCGGCGACUGGUAGCCGGCCUGAGCGGGUGGACGGCCACAUGGGGACUGAGAUACGGCCCAGGCGCCUACGGGAGGCAGCAGGGGGGAAUAUGGCACAAUGGGCGGACGUCUGAUGAAGCGACGCCGCGUGGGGGAUGACGGCCUUCGGGUUGGAAACGCCUUUCACCAUCGACGCGGUAGAUGGAGAAGAAGCACCGGCUAACUACGUGCCAGCAGCCGCGGUAAUAC